UAUGCCCAUACCACGUUGAAACCUCGGUUCUCGUCUGAUUACUGAAGUUAAGCAACGUCAAGUUUCGUCAACACCUAGAUAGGUGACCGCUUGGGAAUAACAGGUGGUGCAAG